GAACAGUGCAGUCCAGGUCUUCCCUCAGCAGUUGGUGUCUCUUGGUGAUCUUCAGUGUUCGUCGGUCGAGGAAGGGAAGCCUCAUUCUGUGCUCUACCUUCAACUCCACAGGCUCAAGUGCCAGCCCUCAGUGCCUUAGGCUGAUUCUGGAGUCAGGAAAUCAUGACUCAUGGCCAGACUGACUUGGAUGACCUUCACAGUGACUACUCAAGAAGGGACUUGGUCUUACAAGUGUUUCAGGCCAUUCUGGGGGGAGAGGAACAGAACUGGCCCAUCGCCUUGAAAUCCUCAGAAUCUGGAGAAGGGCUUAUGGAAGUGAAUGUCUCGGGAGAUUUGAGACAAGAGAGAUGACCUGAGGCUUCGGGGCCCCAAGACAGGUGGCACCGCCUCUGAUGACACUGACUGGAGGGAAGAUAGUAUGGGGCCUGCCCUGAAGUUGGUCCUGCUGGCCCUCAGGGAGCCCCACUGAGUUCUGGGAGAAGCUGUGAGCCCUGGUUUCAACUCAUGUUCUCCUGAACUCUCGUGGUGCAUUUUGAUGGAAACAUCGCCAGGAGCAUGUGAGCAGACUUAGUUAAUUCCCCCUGAAACUGCUCCAGAAACUUGGCCAGGUAUGCUGCUGGAGCCCUGCCCAGUGGAGUCCCCAGUCCCAAAGGGGGUCAGUGAGCUCUACUCUCACCCACCCCAGGAAAGAGGCAUUGGGGGGGGGGAGGGGAACGCCUCCGCCAGAUCUAGCAGUUACAGUAGUUACAGCUUGGAUGCUCCUGCCUCCAGACGCAGCUGGAAGGAGGCCUGCUGCUGGGUCUCCAGGAAGAGUUCCAGGUCCAUCUGCCCAGUUUUCCUCCCCUGAAGCCCCUUCACAAAACCCAGAGGAAAGCUACCUGCUGUCAACCCAGCAAAUGGCCAACAGGCUCACAACAUCUGGACACAGCCUCUGAGGACACGGGGUCCCGCCACCCCGGCAGGCUAGUGCUGGCCUGCAUACAGAAUGAAGGACAGAGUUCAAGAGGGACUGAGUCCAACAGGGGCCGUCUGUGACUUGCAGCCCAGCAGAGACCAUGCAUCUAUCCUCAGCUUCCAUGAGGCCCGACAGCAAACGCCUCUAAGUCACUCAAAGGCCCUCACCUAGCAGCGACUGAACCCAAGUAAUUGCAACUGAUAAGAGAACAUCUUCACAGAAAAGCAGUCUUGCCUGUAGCUACCUUACUUGGAAACAGUCUCCUCACAGUGCUGGGACAGAAAACCACUCCUAGCCCACCACAGCCAGUGGAGUAGCUCUCGGCCCAGCACAUACUUAGCUGGGGGACUUAGCAGCAUGAACAAAUCCUCCCACCUUUCAUUAUUAAAAUAAAAAAAAUGGGUCAGGUGGUGGGGCAUCCAGCUGCACAAUUACCGUGUGCAUGGACAUGGGCUGAGACCCACUCCCUACCUGCAGGGAGGACACUUCAUGAGCAAUGAAGCAGGUCUGCGGGUGUCUAUCUUUCUCCCUCUCUAUUUCCCCCUCCUCUCCCAACUCCUCUCUGUUCUCAAAUGAAAAUAAGAAAGAAAAAAAAAAUGGGGGGAGGUGGGUGGGUAAUAGGCACCAGGAACAAUGGAUUUGUAGUGAGUGCCAGCACCAAGCCCCAGUGCUAGCCUUGGUGGCAAUAAAAGAAAUAAUUAUUUCAAAAAUAAAAU